rnacentral:rRNA from 1 species
UCAGCUCGUGUCGUGAGAUGUGGUUAAGUCCCGCAACGAGCGCAACCCUUGUCUUCAGUUACCAUCAUUCAGUUGGGGACUCUGGAGAGACUGCCGGUGACAAACCGGAGGAAGGUGGGGAUGACGUCAAAUCAUCAUGCCCCCUAUGACCUGGGCUACACACGUACUACAAUGGCGUAUACAACGGGAAGCGAAAUGGUGACAUGGAGCAAAUCUCACAAAGUACGUCUCAGUUCGGAUUGAAGUCUGCAACUCGACUUCAUGAAGUCGGAAUCGCUAGUAAUCGCGGAUCAGCAUGCCGCGGUGAAUACGUUCUCGGGCCUU